rnacentral:rRNA from 1 species
AGGGCACCACCAGGAGUGGAGCCUGCGGCUUAAUUUGACUCAACACGGGGAAACUCACCCGGCCCGGACACCGUAAGGAUUGACAGAUUGAUAGCUUUUUCAUGAUUCGGUGGAUGGUGGUGCAUGGCCGUUCUUAGUUCGUGGAGCGAUUUGUCUGGUUUAUUCCGAUAACGAGCGAGACUCUAGCCUACUAAAUAGUUCGCACAUUGUCUCUGUGUGUGUGACUUCUUAGAGGGAUUUUCGGUGUUCAGCCGCACGAAAUUGAGCAAUAACAGGUCUGUGAUGCCCUUAGAUGUCCGGGGCUGCACGCGCGCUACACUGGCAAAAUCAGCGUGCUUGUCCUUCCCCGAAAGGGGUUGGUAAACCCUUGAAAAUUUGCCGUGAUUGGGAUUGGGAAUUGCAAUUAUUUUCCAUGAACGAGGAAUUCCAAGUAAGUGCGAGUCAUCAGCUCGCGUUGAUUACGUCCCUGCCCUUUGUACACACCGCCCGUCGCUGCCCGGGACUGAGCCAUUUCGAGAA